GACGACGCUGGCGGCGUGCCUGACACAUGCAAGUCGGACGGUUCUUGUAUCUUCAAGCUUGCUUGCAGGUGCAAGGAUAGUGGCGGACGGGUGAGUAACGCGUGAACAUCUACCCAUUGGAGGGGGACAACCCGUCGAAAGGCGGGCUAAUACCGCGUAAGCCGCGAGGUGAGAGGCUGCCUAUUGGUGGCCGCCGAUGGAUGGGUUCGCGUCCUAUCAGCUGGUUGGUGGGGUAACGGCCUACCAAGGCGAAGACGGGUAGCCGGCCUGAGAGGAUGGCCGGCCACACUGGAACUGAGACACGGUCCAGACUCCUACGGGAGGCAGCAGUGGGGAAUAUUGGGCAAUGGGGGAGACCCUGACCCAGCGACGCCGCGUGAGGGAUGAAGGUUUUCGGAUCGUAAACCUCUGUUGUACGGGAAGAAGGAUGUGACGGUACCGUACGACGUAAAGCCCCGGCCAAACCUACGUG
rnacentral:rRNA from 1 species